UUAGGGACGGAGAAGGCUAGGCCAGCUUGGCGUUGGUUGUCCAAGUUUAAGGUGGUAGGCUGAAAUCUUAGGUAAAUCCGGGGUUUCAAGGCCGAGAGCUGAUGACGAGUCGUCUUUUAGAUGACGAAGUGGUUGAUGCCAUGCUUCCAAGAAAAGCUUCUAAGCUUCAGGUAACCAGGAACCGUACCCCAAACCGACACAGGUGGUCGGGUAGAGAAUACCAAGGCGCUUGAGAAAACUCGGGUGAAGGAACUAGGCAAAAUGGCACCGUAACUUCGGGAGAAGGUGCGCCGGCUAGGGUGAAGGAUUUACUCCGUAAGCUCUGGCUGGUCGAAGAUACCAGGCCGCUGCGACUGUUUAUUAAAAACACAGCACUCGGCAAACACGAAAGUGGACGUAUAGGGUGUGACGCCUGCCCGGUGCCGGAAGGUUAAUUGAUGGGGUUAGCGCAAGCGAAGCUCUUGAUCGAAGCCCCGGUAAACGGCGGCCGUAACUAUAACGGUCCUAAGGUAGCGAAAUUCCUUGUCGGGUAAGUUCCGACCUGCACGAAUGGCGUAACGAUGGCGGCGCUGUCUCCACCCGAGACUCAGUGAAAUUGAAAUCGCUGUGAAGAUGCAGUGUAUCCGCGGCUAGACGGAAAGACCCCGUGAACCUUUACUGUAGCUUUGCACUGGACUUUGAGCCUGCUUGUGUAGGAUAGGUGGGAGGCUUUGAAGCGUGGACGCCAGUUCGCGUGGAGCCAUCCUUGAAAUACCACCCUGGCAUGCUUGAGGUUCUAACUCUGGUCCGUAAUCCGGAUCGAGGACAGUGUAUGGUGGGCAGUUUGACUGGGGCGGUCUCCUCCUAAAGAGUAACGGAGGAGUACGAAGGUGCGCUCAGACCGGUCGGAAAUCGGUCGCAGAGUAUAAAGGCAAAAGCGCGCUUGACUGCGAGACAGACACGUCGAGCAGGUACGAAAGUAGGUCUUAGUGAUCCGGUGGUUCUGUAUGGAAGGGCCAUCGCUCAACGGAUAAAAGGUACUCCGGGGAUAACAGGCUGAUACCGCCCAAGAGUUCAUAUCGACGGCGGUGUUUGGCACCUCGAUGUCGGCUCAUCACAUCCUGGGGCUGAAGCCGGUCCCAAGGGUAUGGCUGUUCGCCAUUUAAAGUGGUACGCGAGCUGGGUUUAGAACGUCGUGAGACAGUUCGGUCCCUAUCUGCCGUGGACGUUUGAGAUUUGAGAGGGGCUGCUCCUAGUACGAGAGGACCGGAGUGGACGAACCUCUGGUGUUCCGGUUGUCACGCCAGUGGCAUUGCCGGGUAGCUAUGUUCGGAAAAGAUAACCGCUGAAAGCAUCUAAGCGGGAAACUUGCCUCAAGAUGAGAUCUCACUGGGAACUUGAUUCCCCUGAAGGGCCGUCGAAGACUACGACGUUGAUAGGCUGGGUGUGUAAGCGUUGUGAGGCGUUGAGCUAACCAGUACUAAUUGCCC
rnacentral:rRNA from 1 species